UACGGAGGGUGCGAGCGUUGUCCGGAAUCAUUGGGCGUAAAGGGCGCGUAGGUGGCGGGACAAGCGUGCGGUGAAAGCUCGGGGCUCAACCCCGCGUCGGCCGUGCGAACUGUUUUGCUUGAGCACUGUAGAGGCAGGCGAAAUUCCGGGUGUAGCGGUGGAAUGCGUAGAGAUCCGGAAGAACACCGGUGGCGAAGGCGGCCUGCUGGGCAGUAGCUGACACUGAGGCGCGACAGCGUGGGGAGCAAACAGG
rnacentral:rRNA from 1 species